AACGAACGCUGGCGGCAUGCCUAACACAUGCAAGUCGAACGAGACCUUCUGGUCUAGUGGCGCACGGGUGCGUAACGCGUGGGAACCUGCCCUUAGGUUCGGCAUAACUCCCCGAAAUGGGUUCUAAUACCUGAUAAUGUCUUCGGACCAAAGAUUUAUCGCCUUUGGAUGGGCCCGCGUUGGAUUAGCUAGUUGGUAGGGUAAAAGCCUACCAAGGCGACGAUCCAUAGCUGGUCUGAGAGGAUGAUCAGCCACACUGGGACUGAGACACGGCCCAGACUCCUACGGGAGGCAGCAGUGGGGAAUAUUGGACAAUGGGCGAAAGGCUGAUCCAGCAAUGCCGCGUGAGUGAUGAAGGCCUUAGGGUUGUAAAGCUCUUUUAACCGGGAUGAUAAUGACAGUACCGGGAGAAUAAGCACCGGCUAACUCCGUG
rnacentral:rRNA from 1 species